rnacentral:lncRNA from 1 species
GAGACAGGGUUUCACCAUGUUGCCCAGGCUGGGGACAGAGCCCUUGUUUUGUGACUUAGGAUUUUGAUGUGGUUCCCAUGUUCUCUAACAGGGCCAGCUGAGCAGCACAGGCCAGGAGGCCACAGUGUAAGCAAUAACAGAUCUGCCACAUGCAGAAGCAAAUAUCAGGCCUGUCGCACACGGGCGGCAUUUAAAUAGGAAUUUCUAUUUUUGAAAUAAGGGAUGGUCUAUGAGGCAUACAGUAGAUUUGAUGUGAUCCUUUUCUCCCUCCCUUCCAUAAUGGAUCGUGGUCUGUGUGACUGAACCCACACAGAGUGUCAUGGGUGACAGUUUCUGGUUGAAGUAGCUCCACGCCUGGCUUCUGUGGACAGCAGAUUCUUUUCCUUCUCACAAGGGGCUCAUUUAAAAUUUGGAGGCUGGGUGCUGUGGCUCACGCCUGCAAUCCCAGCACUUUGGGAGACUGAGGCGGGCGGAUCAUGAGGUCAGGAGAUCGCGACCAUCCUGGCUAACAGUGAAACCCUGUCUCCACUAAAAAUACAAAAAAUUAGCCGGGCGUGGUGGCGGGCGCCUGUAGUCCCAGCUACUCUGAAGACUGAGGCAGGAGAAUGGCGUGAACCCAGGAGGCGGAGCUUGCAGUGAGCUGAGAUCACGCCACUGCACUCCAGCCUGGGCAACAGAGUGAGACUCUGUCUCAAAAAAAAAAAAAAAAAAAAUGGAACGCAGGGCAAGAACUCGUAUUUGGAAGGAGAUGGGGGAAAGGAGCGGUAUUAUACCUAUGUUGUAUUUGCAGGCAAAUGAGAUGGAGCCCUCUCUGUAAAGAAGAGUCAUUUGUGCAAGUAGACGGGGUCUGUGGGUGCAGGCCCUGGAGGGGCACACAAUUGCCUGGAGGCUUCUGUGAGAUCGGGAGAGGGAGGAGAGGCAGUCUCUUGACAAAAUAAAGUAUUUUUAUUCAUUUGUAUUUAUUAAAUGAAAAAACAAUCCCAUGGUGUCCCUGUUGUGUGGUGGAACCUAAUGACUGUUGAAAUAAAGUUCUGUGUUUUCCCUGC